rnacentral:rRNA from 1 species
AUUGAACGCUGGCGGCAGGCCUAACACAUGCAAGUCGAGCGGAUGAAGGGAGCUUGCUCCUGGAUUCAGCGGCGGACGGGUGAGUAAUGCCUAGGAAUCUGCCUGGUAGUGGGGGAUAACGUCCGGAAACGGGCGCUAAUACCGCAUACGUCCUGAGGGAGAAAGUGGGGGAUCUUCGGACCUCACGCUAUCAGAUGAGCCUAGGUCGGAGUAGCUAGUUGGUGGGGUAAAGGCCUACCAAGGCGACGAUCCGUAACUGGUCUGAGAGGAUGAUCAGUCACACUGGAACUGAGACACGGUCCAGACUCAUACGGGAGGCAGCAGUGGGGAAUAUUGGACAAGGGGCGAAAGCCUGAUCCAGCCAUGCCGCGUGUGUGAAGAAGGUCUUCGGCUUGUAAAGCACUUUAAGUUGGGAGGAAGGGCAGUACGUUAAUACCUUGCUGUUUUGACGUUACCCACAGAAUAAGCACCGGCUAACUUCGUG